CCCUGCCAUUUGUACACACCGCCCGUCGCACCUACCGAUUGAAUGGUCCGGUGAAAUUUUCGGAUCGCAGCCGCUGCCUUCAUUGUGUGGCGGCAGUGAGAAGUCAAUUAAACCUUACCAUUUAGAGGAAGGUGAAGUCGUAACAAGGUU
rnacentral:rRNA from 1 species